rnacentral:ncRNA from 2 species
AGGCAUUCUCAGGGCAGGGCGAAAUUCCCUACCGGUGGUAAGUAUUUUAAAUAUAAGCCCACGAGCGUUUACUUUUAGUAAAGUCAGCAGAUUUGGUGAAAAUCCAAAGCCGACAGUGAUAGUCUGGAUGAAAGAGAAUAGAG